rnacentral:lncRNA from 1 species
AGGAAUAGUCAAGAUAAACACCUCUAGCACUGACGGGGCAGUGCAUACUGAUCUUAGCAUCGACCAGUAAGCUUACCAGUGGUGCAAAGCUUAGCAUUACUAACACAGCUAAAUAAAUGUGAUGCGGCUGCUCUCAACGGACCACAUGCACCAUCCGUAACACCAAGUUGCUCAAUUCCUUACUGAACUAAGACUAGAGCUGUUUGUAAGCAAUCUCUAAGGAUCCACCACACGGUUUACAAAACGUUAGCACGCAGAUGCAGAUUAACAGAGCAGAAAAUAGUUCACUGGGUAUUCAAAAUUGCCGAUCAAGACAUUCUCUUGUAUGCUGGUAGCAAUUCUCUAGAAGUUGAUACCUUCAUCCUGCAACCACAAAGAGAAUACAGUUUUACUUUUAGGAAAAAUUCUUGUGAAUACUGAAGUUGUCAACUUCAUUAACCAGAUAGAUGAAAAAUACAGUAGGAUGUGCAGCAGCAGUUGUUGUGCACCACACCAUUUGCAUAAAGUGCAGACUAAGUUUGUUUAUACUCAGCUUGUAGUUAUAGUUAUAGGUUUUGUCUACGCCUAAUCAUUUCAAGUGCAACCGCUGUCACAGAAUGAUUUAAUGAGGCAAUACCCUGAUUCUGCACCUAUUUCCAAGAUUCUUAUGAGGCAAUACCCUGUUCAAGCUAAUUAUACAAAAGCGUGUAUAUAACAUAUUCAUCCUUUUUUCAGAAUCAUGCAAACCUAAUCGUCCCUUUGCUUUUUUAAAGUCUGCUCAUGAUUUUGGGAUGCUCACAGGGUUCCAGCCAAAGCUGGGGCGUCCCAAGGUCCAUAGCUAGGCUAGGCUGUCCACAAAAUGAAUGGAGGGUGUGAAUGGCUCGGGCAGAUAAAAUAUAAUGUCCAGCAGCACAGGAUGAACUGUUAUGCAACACACCACUACACAAGGUAAAGUAAUACUCCCUCCGUCCGAAAAUACUUGUCGGAGAAAUGCAUAAAAAUGAAUGUAUCUAGAACUAAAAUACAUCUAGAUACAUUCAUUCCUCCGACGAGUAUUUCCGGACGGAGGGAGUACUACAGGAAAGGAUUACACUUUACUUGCUGUCGGGUGGUAUAUGAUACAUCAUACCUGUAGUGGUGGGGCACAUAUGAUUCUGUGCAUUGAUUAGUAUUCUGGUUUGCUAUCUCGAGACUACUUUUAGUGCCUAAUGCCUAUGGUUCUUAGUUAUUACUCCCUCCGCUCCAUAAUAUAGUGCCUAUAGAUUUUUUGAGAAGUCAAACUUUGACCAAGUUUGUAGAGAAAAAUAUUUAUAUCUAUAAUAGCAAAAAUAUAUAAUGUGAAACUACAUCUUAUGAUGAAUCUAGUGAUAUAUGUUUCGCACUCUAGACGUAAAUAUUUUUCUCCACAAACUUGGUCAAAGUUUUGUGAAGUUUGACUUUUCAAAAAAUCUAUAGGCACUACAUUAUGGAACGGAGGGAGUAGUACUCGCAAUUUAUAUUUGACGAGGUGUAUACCAUGUUAAGCUAGCGGCUAUAAAAGUUUUGCUAAUUUUAUCACAUAACCUUCAGGUUACAUAUGCAGUUUCCAUAAAUAAAACCUGAUGUGUAAAUCAUUUGUUGUGCAAGUAUCUAAAUUCGUAGUGAUGGAGAUUUUCGAAGCAAAUCAAAGGCUGGCUGGCUACCUUUCCCUUUAGUGUCCCCUUAGCACAUUGAGCACUCUACUGAUGACUGGCCCAACGCUUCACCUGAAAAAAUAAAUGAAAAAUGGCGUCAAGUAAUGAUGCAGGUCAGCUUUUUGCAGCAAUGCUUCAAGGAGAAUUGGUAAAGAAUAAUCUUUCCACCCUUCUGGGAUUUUAUCAUGAUUCAGUCUGCACAUAGAGUAUCCUAUUCCUAUCUGCCACAUUCAAUCAUCUAGAGUAGGAUACAAUGUUCAUACUUUGUAUACAACAAUUAUCUGUCACUAUAAAUGUAGAUGAAGAUUUAAUAUACUUGGCUUCAGUUGUCCAAUUGUGUCAUUGUAUAAAAUACUCCCUCCGUUCCUAAAUAUAAGUCUUUUUGGAGAUUUCAAUAUGAACCACAUACGGAUGUAUAUAGAUGUAGUUUAGAGUGUAGAUUCACUCAUUUUGCUCCGUAUGUAGUCCAUAUUGGAAUAUCUAAAAAGACUUGUA